rnacentral:rRNA from 1 species
CAGCCCCCCGAGUGGUAGGGAUGUUUAUUUGGCCUAAAGCGUCCGUAGCCGGUUUGGUAAAUCUCUCGUUAAAUCCAACGUCCUAAGCGUUGGGCUGCGAGGGAGACUGCCAAGCUAGAGGGUGGGAGAGGUCAGCGGUAUUCCUGGGGUAGGGGCGAAAUCCUUUGAUCCCAGGAGGACCACCAGUGGCGAAGGCUGCUGACUAGAACACGCCUGACGGUGAGGGACGAAAGCUGGGGUAGCGAACCGGAUUAGAUACCCGAGUAGUCC